rnacentral:rRNA from 1 species
GAUCCUGGCUCAGGAUGAACGCUAGCGACAGGCCUAACACAUGCAAGUCGAGGGGCAGCACAAGGAGCAAUCUGAGGUGGCGACCGGCGCACGGGUGAGUAACACGUAUGCAACCUGGCUGUAAGAGGGGAAUAACCCGGAGAAAUCCGGACUAAUACCGCAUAAUACUUAGAAUCCGCAUGGAUUUUAAGUUAAACAUUUAUGGCUUACAGAUGGGCAUGCGUAUGAUUAGCUGGUUGGAGAGGUAACGGCUCCCCAAGGCAACGAUCAUUAGGGGUUCUGAGAGGAAGGUCCCCCACACUGGUACUGAGGCACGGACCAGACUCCUACGGGAGGCAGCAGUGAGGAAUAUUGGUCAAUGGGCGAAAGCCUGAACCAGCCAUGUCGCGUGAAGGAAUGAAGGUCCUAUGGAUUGUAAACUUCUUUUGCAGGAGGGUAAAGUGAGCUACGUGUAGUUCAUUGCAAGUACCCUGCGAAUAAGCAUCGGCUAACUCCGUGCCAGCAGCCGC